rnacentral:lncRNA from 1 species
CUUUAAAAACCGCGCCCAGUCCGAACCCGGCAGAAGCCAUUUUAGGACUCAAUCAAUCAGUCCUGCCUGUUGUGGUCCAGCCAACCGUGACAAUCGCUUCUCCGCCAUCGAAAACUCCUGGUGUAACCCCUCCCCCUGCGCAUCGACCCAAUUUAUGAUCCAUCAACGAAGAAAGAAUUAGCAGUCUGCUUGUAACUUAGAUAGCUGAAACAGAAAGUGUUUAAUCAAACUGCUGUGGCUAUGCAUCUUCAUCAUCGGCGUGAAAGAAGGGGAGGAAGUACGGAAUUUGGCCUUUCCCUCCUGUACGUGUUGAGGGGUACCAGUGAAAGGGAAUUAACUCUCCACCUGAACAGUUGUUACAAACUCCAACCGCUAUUCCCAGGGAAACCAUCAAAAAAACCUUACCAAAUGGACUCAGGACAUGACUAACUGAAAAUUGUGCGGCGGCAGCUUUUUUGUACAAACUGAAUUGUUUCAAACUGACAACAAAAGGAACAGCAAUAACCAUGUACUGGUUUCUACAGGUGUUUGUCAGUAUUAAUGUUAAUUAUGGGUGAACCUAGACAUAAAUUGAAUGACUUUAAAUUACUGCAUAAUGUUUUAAUAAAUACAUUCCGCAUAAGAAGUAAAAUGGAAGG